AGUGAACGCUGGCGGUAGGCCUAACACAUGCAAGUCGAACGGCAGCACAGUAAGAGCUUGCUCUUACGGGUGGCGAGUGGCGGACGGGUGAGGAAUACAUCGGAAUCUACUUUUUCGUGGGGGAUAACGUAGGGAAACUUACGCUAAUACCGCAUACGACCUACGGGUGAAAGUAGGGGAUCUUCGGACCUUGCGCGAUUGAAUGAGCCGAUGUUGGAUUAGCUAGUUGGCGGGGUAAAGGCCCACCAAGGCGACGAUCCGUAGCUGGUCUGAGAGGAUGAUCAGCCACACUGGAACUGAGACACGGUCCAGACUCCUACGGGAGGCAGCAGUGGGGAAUAUUGGACAAUGGGCGCAAGCCUGAUCCAGCCAUACCGCGUGGGUGAAGAAGGCCUUCGGGUUGUAAAGCCCUUUUGUUGGGAAAGAAAAGCAGCAGGUUAAUACCCCGCUGUUCUGACGGUACCCAAAGAAUAAGCACCGGCUAACUUCGUG
rnacentral:rRNA from 1 species